CUCUCUUGCUUUUCAGCCAAUGGGAAUCCGGAUUGAUGCAAAAUCUUUUACCACCUUUGACCUCAACGCUGCAAAGUGAGAAACAGCAGCUCAGUAAUUUUAUUGUCACCGUUUGAUUCCAUUUUAACAAGAAAAUCAAUGUUUAUGAAAAACCUCAGUGAAGAUUAAAGAUAUUCUCCAGGAGCUGCUGAUGCUAAAGUCGACCACUAGAUGGAGCUCCUUGUUUUACAUCGAGGAGAAAGUCAGACCUGCACUGAGAGCUGAAAGAAGAAGCUACGGAGGGAUGAAGAUCAGAACCGCCAUGAUGAGCAGAAACAUUUUUUCCCCUGAAGGUGAAAGUUUGUUGUGAUCUGCAGAAAAAGCUGCUGAAUGUUUCUGUUCAACCGUUUAGCAGCAAAAUAUGUGAGCAGGAAGAAAAGAUUGUCGUCUUUGGCAACGAUAUCGAAGAGGAAAUUAAGAAAGAUAAAGACAGA